rnacentral:lncRNA from 1 species
CUUUGAUCAUGAAAAUAUCAUGACAAAACAAAUAACAUUUAUAUAAUUUUAUUAAAAUAAGAUGAAUAGUUGAAAGAAAAAAAUUAAAGAUGUCGGGCCGAGUAUAUUAUAACCAGCCAAAGGUAAACAUACUAGGACACGUUUUCUCACAUGUACAGUUUCGUUAGACUUUUCUCAGUUCGCAGUAGCGAGCUCAAGUGGCAACUGAAGUCAAGUAAACGCCUGCACUUUCCAAGGCUAUAUAAUAUCACAAACAGUUCUCACGAAAAAAGAAAAACAAGAACUCCAUCUUAGAAGUGAUGUUUCCAUCAGUUGGAGCCAAAUCUCCCCCCGCUGCUUCUCAUCCUGCAUCAUUUCUUCUUUGCAGCCUCCUCAUCUUUCUAUCCUGCAACACAAUAACACCCUCAUCAGCGCAGCCCAGCAACAGAUCAGAGACCGAUUUACAAGCUCUACUAUGCUUCAAGCAAAGCAUAACCGACCCCACCGGUGCUUUCAUCUCAUGGAACACGUCAGUCCAUUUCUGCAGAUGGAAUGGUGUCAGAUGUGGCACGACAUCUCCAGCUCAAGUUGUCUCCAUAAACCUUAGCUCCA